UGAGUAAGAUGGUCCAUAUGUUGUUUCUUAUCCAUAUUUCCUUGUUGCUAUAAACUAAACCAGUGGUAUUGAUUGUAGGUCCAGAAAGACACACCCAUGGUUUUUUCACAGUGCGAAGAACUUCAGUUAGUGUCUUUUCUGUGAACUUAAAACCUGCACUGGCAUCAGUCGGAACUGUCACUGUGUCAGUUUUCAAAAUGUAGCAGAAGAAACAUAGUUCCCAUUUGAUCCUGGAAGGCUGAAUAGCUCAAAGUGAUCUGAUAUGUCCAAGAAAAGAUGAGAUUCAACAUCUCGUGCUGUACAAAAUCUGAACUAGUAACAACCUCAAAAAAUAGCAAUUCCAGCCACAACCACUUGAGGCUUUAAUUUCUUUAUUAGUUCUAUCAACAAAUCUGAUUGCCGAGGGGCUUCAAUUGAUGUUAUGGACAAGGAUGUUAUUUCUCGGAAUUUCGUCAUAGCAGCAUGCACACGCAAUGGUAACGUUGAACUUGGUUUUAUUUUGUACCGUAGUAAAUUGUUGGACUUACCGGUUUUGUUGCCGCAUUUGCAGGUUUUGAGGAUGGAUUCAAGUUGCAGCCAAAUAAUGGAUUGGUACGAAAUCCUCUACAGGCCAUUCACUUAUAUCUUGUUGCGGACUAUGGUUGCUUAGCAAAAGCUUUGAUGAUGGUGUCAGCAAACCUGUUGAGGAUAUUGACUGGGAUGCUCUUACUGUAAAGGGUACCUGCCAGGAAAUUGAGAAGCGAUACCUGCGCCUAACACCGGCACCAGAUCCCGCCACCAUUGUCAUCAUCAUACUCAUCAUUUGUCAAAUUAUGGUGACGAGCCAUCAGUACUACUCUUCUUAUUGCAUACAAGUCCUCCAUCCGUAAGCCUGACUGCACAGAAACGAAGGAGUGCGAUUGCAUUAAGGCUCACAUCACUAUUGAACCGGUCAUUUGUAACUGUCAAAAGGCAUCCAGCACAAUCAGUGAAGGUCGUCAUUUCUGCGGUUGUUGUCCAUCCUGAGAGAACCAUUCCAUCAGGUUCUUUCUCUUCAUCAAAUUCCUCUCUUUUCAAGAUUGGCAUCAUAAAUUGCAACCAUCUGUACUUCUCUUCUGCAGUCUACCUGAGGCGCAAGUGUAGGUACUCGGCUUCUUCACCACACGUUUCCACUCAUCAAAUGUCUGGUUCACAUACAUUUGUUGUUCAACAUGAUUCUGUACACGCGAAGGCAUUAAGAAGACCAUGAUUCCAAAGUUUGAUCAUGAAUAAUGUCCAACACCAAUGUAGAGCUCGGGAUGAGAUCAACUCUUCUGCAUGAUGCUUCGAAAAUGCCUCACAAGCCCACGGCAUAUGACCAUCAGCCAGUACCCCUUGUUAUUUUUGGCGGUUGCAGUCUUGCCUUGAGCUGCGUUACCGUCGUUUGCCACUUUGCAGCUUGGCUCAUACGCGCUAGAGUUUCUCGUGUAAUAGCUUUUGGAAGUGUGGCUUAUGCAGGUGGCUUUUGUCUCAUUGUGCUGCAGUGGGGUGUGCCGCAGCUUACAGCUGUCGUUGGAAUGUGAAGUUGGUUUGGCAUCUUGUAGCUGUUUCCUUGGCAGCUAGGCUUGGUGUAGU